AGUAUAUGUAAAAAUCUAGAGAAUGAUUGUAAGGAUAGAAAAAAACUAAUAUUCCUGUUCUUUUUCAUUCCAUUCCAAGCUGUGUUUAUUCUAAAGAUACUUGAAUUUUAGGAACCCUCAGUUCCUUUUUGAAUGCUAUGUUGUAAUUACCAGUGACUCAUUCAUCUGUACUCAAGUUUUUGGAUAUAAAUGAAGGUUAAAUAUGACUCCGGUUAAUUUAAUGCUUUAACUAUACCAUACCAACCACAUCACUAAUACACUGUCAAGAUGCAAUCUUCCUUUCUUACUAAUUACAUUAACUUGAUGAGUCACUUUUCUUUAGUUAUUGCUUAUAUUGCCUUUUAAUAUUUAUCUUUGCUGAACUAAUUCUCCCAUCUUUUUAAUAAUUC
rnacentral:lncRNA from 10 species